rnacentral:rRNA from 1 species
GACGAAGGGGGCUAGCGUUGUUCGGAAUUACUGGGCGUAAAGCGAGUGUAGGUGGUUGUCCAAGUUGGAUGUGAAAGCCUUGAGCUCAACUCAAGAAAUGCAUUCAGGACUGGGCGGCUAGAGGACCGGAGAGGAUAGUGGAAUUCCCAGUGUAGUGGUGAAAUACGUAGAGAUUGGGAAGAACACCAGUGGCGAAGGCGGCUAUCUGGACGGUUUCUGACACUAAGACUCGAAAGCGUGGGAGCAAACAGG